rfam:Phoenicopterus ruber ruber contig49854, whole genome shotgun sequence.
CCAAAGGUUCUUUUCAGAACCACCAACUCUUUCACUUGAAGAGCUU